CACGCAGGCGGUCUGUUAAGUCAGAUGUGAAAUCCCCGGGCUUAACCUGGGAACUGCAUCCAAAACUGGCAAGCUAGAGUAUGGUAGAGGGUGGUGGAAUUUCCUGUGUAGCGGUGAAAUGCGUAGAUAUAGGAAGGAACACCAGUGGCGAAGGCGACCACCUGGACUGAUACUGACACUGAGGUGCGAAAGCGUGGGGAGCAAACAGGAUUAGAUACCCGCGUA
rnacentral:rRNA from 1 species